UACGUAGGGGGCAAGCGUUGUCCGGAAUCAUUGGGCGUAAAGAGCUCGUAGGCGGCUUGUCGCGUCGACUGUGAAAACCCGCGGCUCAACGGCGGGCCUGCAGCCGAUACGGGCAGGCUAGAGUUCGGUAGGGGAGACUGGAAUUCCUGGUGUAGCGGUGAAAUGCGCAGAUAUCAGGAGGAACACCAAUAGCGAAGGCAGCUCGCUGGGACGUUACUGACACUGAGAUGCGAAAGCGUGGGGAGCAAACAGG
rnacentral:rRNA from 1 species